AGUUUUUUUAUUUUAUCAAACAAGCCUUUAAACUUAAGAGUUAUUCAAAUUAGGCACAGCUUAUUUGAAACAGGAUACAACCUCCACUACCGGGUAAACAAGGGUGAUCAAAACUAAGUGGGCCUAAAAGCAGCCACCUUCCGAAAAGCGUCAAAGCUUAUCUAUUCUAACCCGCAAUUUCUAAAAUACUCCCUAACCCUUCAUUCCUACUGACCCCCUUUAUACUAUUAUAAAAAUAAUUAUGCUAGAACUAGUAACAAGAAGUCACCCUUCUCCAUAAUGUAAGUAUAAACCAAAACGGACCCUCCAUUGGUGAUUAACGUAAAUGCAAGCCCCAUAAUAACACAUACCCAGAAAACCUUAUGGCCCCCCACGUUACCCUAACACUAGAACAUUACAGGAAAGAUUAAAAGAGAAAGAAGGAACUCGGCAAAUUUUAACCCCGCCUGUUUACCAAAAACAUCGCCUCUUGAUAAAACAUAAGAGGUCCAGCCUGCCCAGUGACAAAAUUCAACGGCCGCGGUACACUAACCGUGCGAAGGUAGCAUAAUCAUUUGUUCUUUAAAUAAGGACUAGUAUCAACGGCACCACGAGGGUUAUACUGUCUCCUAUCUCUAAUCAGUGAAACUGAUCCCCCCGUGAAGAAGCGGGGAUCUAGCUAUAAGACGAGAAGACCCCAUGGAGCUUUAAACCCAACAUGCACCCCCUCACCUAAACAUCAACUUAACCUAGAGGACCUGCAUGCUGGUUUUAGGCUGGGGGGGCCACGGAGUAAAAUUAAACCUCCAUAACAAAUGGGCUAACACCCUUACCCACGAUUUACAAAUCUAAGAAUUACCAAAAUAAUGUUUAAUGACCCGAUAAUUCGAUCAAUGAACCAAGUUACCCUGGGGAUAACAGCGCAAUCUACUUCAAGAGCUCUUAUCGACAAGUAGGUUUACGACCUCGAUGUUGGAUCAGGGUAUCCUAGUGGUGCAACCGCUACUG
rnacentral:rRNA from 1 species